AUAUAUAAUUAUCUAACAAGAUUUUCCAUUUAUUUAGGCUAGAAUUAUGAAAAAAACAUUUAAAUUCUCUGCUAUAGAUAUAAUUUCAAAAUUUAUCUAUUGUGUAUCCUCUCUUCUUUUAUAAAGAAUUAUCAUUAUUUUAUAACUUUCGAAAAUUAUUAUUUGCAAUUUUUAUAAAUAAAUUUAUUCAUAAUUAUUCUAUAUAUAUUGCAUGUAAUAAAUUACUAUAAUCUUGCUGUGAUUCGUCUGCUUACAAAAAACAAUUUCUUCUGUUGGAAGAGGAAAUAAAAAAAUGUUCCCAAUGCCCAAUGCAGUGAGAAGGCAAAGAUUUUUUGAAAUCAAAGUCAAAGACGAACUAGUAUAUUCUUGAAUUUCUAUUCUUUCUCAUCUAUACUGCAGUUGUAGAUAUGAUCAAAGAUGUAUCUGCAGAUUACUCGGUGAGGAGAAUUGACCACUGACAGGUUGUAGAUGAUUGUGUAUUAUCAUAAAUAUAUUUAUAAAAAGGACACAAUACAAAUACUUUUUAUUAUAAGUCACAAAAACUGAGAGCAACAUCCACGGUACCGCCACCGUAAUAAAUCUUGUCCAAAAUGUCCGAACUGGAAUUCUUAACUAGCAAAGCGCCAAUCCCGGUAGGAUAGCCAAACAUUUUAUAAAAAGAUAUGCAUACAAAGUCUGGUUUGAAA